rnacentral:rRNA from 1 species
AUACGUAGGGGGCGAGCGUUGUCCGGAAUUACUGGGCGUAAAGCGCGCGCAGGCGGCUUGUUAAGUCAGGUGUCAAAAUGCGGGGCUCAACCCCGUAUCGCACUUGAAACUGGCAGGCUUGAGUGCAGGAGAGGGAAGUGGAAUUCCUAGUGUAGCGGUGAAGUGCGUAGAUAUUAGGAGGAACACCAGUGGCGAAGGCGACUUCCCGGACUGUAACUGACGCUCAGGCGCGAAAGCUAGGGGAGCAAACAGGAUUAGAUACCCUGGUAGUCCUAGCCGUAAACGAUGGGUACUAGGUGUUGGGGGUGACAAUCCCCCAGUGCCGCAGUUAACGCAUUAAGUACCCCGCCUGGGGACUACGGCCGCAAGGCUGAA